GUUUCUAUAGUUAAGGGUUUGUUAACGGCAGCUUUUCGGGCUGCAAACCUUGGAUCGAGGCCAAGUGGAAACU
rnacentral:tRNA from 1 species